AUAGGUGGAAUUGUUUCUGGGUAUAACCGACAUGCAGGCUAGAGCGAUGGCCGGGCCCCAAAACGCCAUCGUGUUGGAUAGCUUCCUGACCAAGCCUCGCGACGCGCCCUUCUCCAAAGCGAAGUCGGACAGCCAACUGACGGGGAAGCUGAGUAUCCACAUCGCUAAGUACGGUGGGCAUCUCGGUCAGUAGAGUCCAGUAGCCCCAAUUUUGACCGCAAUGGGCGAGGAUGAUGGCCCACAUCGGCCACGAGGUGAAGAUCUCUCGCCAUGGGGGUCCUCUUUUCGUUCAGUGGUCCUCAGACUCUCUUCGAUAUACUCUUUUUCUUCUUGGGAGAUGCUGCGAUGCUUGAACGGCGAAUCCGCCCCGAGGAGAAAGAAACACACGCUCCAGAGGAUCGCUAACGCGCCAAACAGGUAGAAGAUGCUGGGCCAACCACCAGCGGACGCGGCGAGAGCGCCGGAAAUCGGCAGGGCGAUUACCGUGCCGAAUUGGGCGCCCGCGUAAGCGAACGUUCCUGAGAGUAGGUGAAUUGAUCUUAUUGAAAUACGUAUACCGCCGCGAUUGGUUUUGCGAUUUAACAGCAACAGCAAAGUGACCAGUACGUCACCGCACGUAGAAUUUAUCUUUCGAUCGCGUCUCAAUGUCGCGCGUCACGCGAUCACAUCUCGCACAUCUCAAAAAUCAAAGAUAAGCAAUAUAGUAGUCCAUUUGUGUCUAAAUUCCUUUGUUUCGCGCAAGAACAACGAAUCGUAAUUACUCUGGUCUCGACGUCGCGGGUCCGAAUUCGACCCGAAAGACACCCCCAGCACGGAUUCUGAAUCUAUUCUCACCCAAUCGUGCCCUCUCGGGAGGCGGCGCCCAUUUGGAGAGGAGGGUGUGAACGCAAGGUAACAGGCAACCCUGAGUGAGACCCAUGCCUACCCUGCAAACACAGACGGCUACCAGGUUCCAUCGAUGAGUGACGAACGGCGUGAUUACGUUGAAGAUACCACAUAGCAGCAUGCCCACACUCAGGAGCAUCUGAGCGCUCCAAAUACCGGCGACGUAGCCGCUCGGCACUUGCGCCACUGUGUAGCCCCAGAAAAACGAGCUAAGCGCCAACGACUUCUCCGUAUUAUCCCAUUUAUAGUCCUGGUAAUAAACAUUAUUUCGUCAAGUUGUGUUGUUGUAA